GCCUCCAUAGCCCAGUGGUUAGCGUACUGCUUUUGUAAACCAGGGUCGUGAGUUCGAUCCUCAUUGACGGCU
rnacentral:tRNA from 1 species